rnacentral:tRNA from 1 species
GUUGAAAUAGCUCAGUGGGUAAGAGCACUGGCUGCCCUUUCAGAGGACCUGGGUUUAAUUCCCGGCAUCCACA